rnacentral:lncRNA from 1 species
AUGCCAAGGCACCUCUGGGCUCACCCUGGAGAAGUCGAAGAGCGGAUUAUGAGGGAAAAGGAGAAAAUUCCGAGGCACGGGCACCCUGAGGAGAUGGCAGGCUUUCCCUGUCAGGAGACACGGUGUCCCCAGGCCGCCCCCGGGCUGCCCGCCAAGGGCCAGCACCGGCCCAGGGCAGGCCAACAGCCGGCGGGGAGGCACCGAGCGCAGGGCCUCGGCCCCAGCGAGGCCCCUGCCGUGCGUGACGGCCCCGCCGACAUAGGGCUGCCCUCCCCGAGCCGGCACAGGCCGCACACGCCCGGCGGCCGCAGCAGUUGGGGGCCGGCGCUAACACAGCGACGCCGGGCCAGCGGGCCCUGCUCCUCCCGGCUGCCCCACGGGACCCCGCCAGAACCACCCGAAGCAGCCCGAGGCGGGGACGGGCGUGCGGAACCACCGGGGGGGCACCGAGCGACCGGGCGGAAGAGGGCAAGGCCCCGGUACCGGGAAGGGUGGCGGGGAGUACCACCGCGAUCCGCUCCCCCGCGCCCCACUCACCUUAGCCUCAGCGCCCAGCCCCAGCAGAGCGGCCAGCGCCAGCAGCGAGCACAGGCGCGCCGAGCCCCCGCAGCGGGCCGCCAUGUCGGGCACCGAGCGCUUAUCGCCGCCGCUCCGCCGCCGGCCCCGCCGCGCCCGCCGCCAUCACUUCCGCCUUCCGCCGGCCGCACGUCAGGCGGCGUCCGGCAGCGACGCGGCCCCCCGGGAACGGCGGCGCCGACGAGCGGUUCCGGGCUGAGAGAGCCCAGACGGCCUCGGCCUGCGGCCCGAGGGCGGCCCCCGACAGGGCAGCGGGUUCCCGCGGCCCCCCCGGGCGGGCAGCCCGACCCCCCCGCGCUGCUGGGGCUGCCCCCCCCCGGCCGCCGGUGCCGGUUCUUGGGCCCGGCCGGGGCAGGCGCUCACGGCUCUGACAGGCUGCACAGCGAGCGGCGGGCUGCCUGGCUCAGCCCCUUUAUUCUCCGGCUUAUUUUAUACCUUGUGCCCUUCUUACAUCCGUUUUCUGCCCUGAACUGGAAAGGAGCGACACUGCACACCAUCAAAAGCGGCCCUGUACCCUCUCUCCUUCCCCAGCCCCCAGGAGAAUUGCCAGCAGAGUGUCAUGAGCAUAAGCGGGGUUUUGGCCUUCGCCAGACGAUUUGUGAUGACUGCAUCGGCCGCGGAAGUGUUCUCAGCGUGAGGGUGGCUGUGCCUUCCCCGCCACCCACGCUCAUCGCCUGCAAAUGCGCUGAAUCUUCCGAAAAACAUGGAGCGAAUUUUGAGCUGAAGUCCAUAAGGUGCCGUUUCAGAGGCAUCACUGCGUUUGGAAGAGCUCAGUGCCAGCAAAGGUUUCCAACAGAUAGUCCUAUAGUCUAAUAACACACUCAGAGUUCUAAUACGCAGGUAAUAAAUGCAUGGGGUUUUAGGUGGCUGGAAUGGCCUUUGGGAUCUUCAAGCCCAGUCCUGGAGCUUCCUCAGAUCCAGGGACACCAGAAAAAGAAAUGUGAGCUUGUGAGCCACAGGCUCUUGAUGCUGCAUGAGGUAGAGAUGAUUUCAGCUAGAAGAUGAGUCCGUUCUUCCCCUAGAAAAGAGCAAGCAGUGAUUUAGUGUGCAAAACUGCUGGACGGAUUCUUAACAGGAAAGUACUGGAAGUUUUUGUCUUAACAUUUAGAUUUUUUCUGGGUUUCUUUUCUUUAAUUUAUUUGUCAGCACACCAGUAUGAGAAGCAAUACUGUUAAACUACAGUUAAAGAAAAUAAAAAGUAAAAAAAUGUAAAAGAAA